GAGAAAACCCAUUGAGAGCAGUUUCCCACACGCCCCGACACUCGAGGUCCAACCCAGUCCAGGCUGCUGGCUGGAGAACCGACCUUUAAAACUCUUGUUUAUGUACAGCCACAACUUCAGUCCAACUCCGGCCUGGCCUGGCAUGGAAAACCAGGAAGUUCCUGUAUGAAAUAUUUUUCAGGGUCUGUGUACCUCACAGGAAGCCUUCAGAUUGCAAACAUGUGUCCAAACUGCUGACUUGGAGUAAAUGGAUCAACUUACUCAGUCUGAAUUGGAGAGCCUGAUUUCUGCACCAGGGAGGCUUGCUGUUUGAAUGUGUGCCAGGUUGAAUGGAGUCUCUGGCUUCAGAUGGAUUCAAGCUGAAAGAGGUUUCUUCUGGCUCUCAAUGGCCUCGAGUUAAAUGAAGCCCAGACACCUCAUCACAAGGCUCGCGUCCUUUCUUCUGCCUUGUCCAGGGCAUGGCCUCACACAGCACCCCAGCCAGAAGGAUGCUCAGUUCCCUGACCUCAUCAUGCUACAGCUCAUCCUGAUUUGGUGACCAAAGCACAGCGACCCAUAACAG